rnacentral:rRNA from 1 species
AGCGAACGCUGGCGGCAGGCCUAACACAUGCAAGUCGAGCGCCCAGCAAUGGGAGCGGCAGACGGGUGAGUAACGCGUGGGGAUGUGCCCAAUGGUGCGGAAUAACCCAGGGAAACUUGGAUUAAUACCGCAUGUGCCCUUCGGGGGAAAGAUUUAUCGCCAUUGGAUCAACCCGCGUCUGAUUAGCUAGUUGGUGAGGUAAAGGCUCACCAAGGCGACGAUCAGUAGCGGGUCUGAGAGGAUGAUCAGCCACACUGGGACUGAGACACGGCCCAGACUCCUACGGGAGGCAGCAGUGGGGAAUAUUGGACAAUGGGCGCAAGCCUGAUCCAGCCAUGCCGCGUGAGUGAUGAAGGCCUUAGGGUUGUAAAGCUCUUUCGCCGGUGAAGAUAAUGAUGGUAACCGGAGAAGAAGCCCCGGCUAACUUCGUGCCAGCCGCCGCCGUAAAAC